rnacentral:misc_RNA from 1 species
CAACACCAGUAGCCACCCUACGCCCUCAUCAGCGUAUACAAAAGGAAUCUCCCCCCCCCCCAACUCUUCCUCUAGUGUCUCGAACCGGCCACCACAUAGUAGCACCCUUCCCCCUCUUCGCCUCUCGGUCUCGCUCCCUUCUCAUUCCUAUAGCCCGCUUUCUCUGCCCUGCCUGUCCCCUUCGCCCUCACCCACAAGCACAAUGGCCUCUAUUGAGAAGAUUGCCAACUGCAUCCGCUGCCUCGCGGCAGACAUUGUGCAGGGUGGCAAGAGUGGUCACCCGGGCACGCCGAUGGGCAUGGCGCCAGUGUCAGCGGUCCUGUGGACGGAAGUGAUGAAGUACAACAGCCAGGAUCCUAACUGGGUCGACCGCGACCGCUUCGUCAUGUCGAACGGGCACGGCUGCGCGCUGCAGUACGCCCUGCUGCACAUGGCCGGCUACGACCUUACCAUGGACGACCUGAAGGGAUUCCGCCAAGAUGGCUCGCGCACCCCUGGUCACCCCGAGCGUUUCGUGACGCCCGGGGUGGAGGUGACGACCGGGCCGCUUGGCCAGGGUAUUGCAAACGCGGUCGGACUGGCGAUGGCCGAGUCGCACCUUGCCGCCAGGUUCAACCGCCCGGGACACGAGCUCGUCAAUCACUACACUUACGUGUACUGUGGUGAUGGCUGUCUGAUGGAGGGUGUGUGCCAGGAGGCGCUCUCCCUCGCCGGCCACCUCGCCCUGGAGAAACUCAUCGUCAUCUACGACAGCAACUACAUCUGCAUCGAUGGCGCGACAAACCUCUCCUUCACGGAGCAGUCCCACCAGAAGUACGUGUCCAUGGGUUUCCAUGUGAUCGAGGUCGAAAACGGUGACACUGACUACGACGGCCUGCGCAAGGCGUUGGCGGAGGCCAAGGCCACGAAGGGGAAGCCGAAGAUGAUUGUGCAAACCACAACGAUCGGGUUCGGGUCUUCGAAGCAGGGAACGGAGAAGGUGCACGGCGCGCCGCUGGGUGAGGAGGAUAUUGCCAACGUCAAGACGAAGUUUGGCCGCGACCCGAACAAGAAGUACGACGUCGACGAAGACGUCCGCGCUGUGUUCAAGAUGCACAUGGAGAAGUGUUCCGCGGAGCAGAAGGCGUGGGAGGAACGCUUGGCGAAGUACACGGCCGCGUUCCCGGCCGAGGGUGCCGCCUUUGUGGCGCAGAUGAAGGGCGAGCUGCCGUCCGGGUGGGAGGCGAAGCUGCCGACGAACUCCUCGGCCAUCGCGACGCGCAAGGCGAGCGAGAAUUGCCUGGCUGUGCUCUUCCCGGCCAUCCCGGCCCUCAUGGGAGGGUCGGCUGACCUCACGCCGAGCAACCUGACGCGCCCCGCGUCGGCAAACUUGGUGGACUUCUCGUCGAGCAGCAACGAGGGUCGCUACAUUCGCUUCGGUGUCCGUGAACACGCCAUGUGCGCCAUCCUCAACGGUCUCGACGCCCACGGUGGUAUCAUCCCGUUCGGCGGCACCUUCCUCAACUUCAUCGGCUACGCCCUUGGUGCGGUGCGCCUCGCCGCGAUCUCCCACCACCGUGUCAUCUACGUGGCGACACACGACAGCAUCGGGGUUGGCGAGGACGGGCCGACCCACCAACCUGUCGAGUUGGUGGCUGCCCUGCGUGCCAUGCCAAACCUGCAGGUGAUGCGUCCUAGCGACCAGACAGAGACGAGCGGUGCGUGGGCUGUUGCGUUGUCUAGUGCCCACACUCCGACGGUUCUGUGUCUGAGCCGCCAGAACACCGUGCCGCAGUCGGGGUCGAGCAUCGAUGGUGUGAAGCGCGGUGCCUACGCAGUGGUGGAGGUGCCCGACCCGCAGCUCGUAAUCGUGGCGAGCGGCUCGGAGGUGUCGCUGGCGGUGGAUGCUGCCAAGGUACUCUCGGGUGAGCUGUGCGUGAGGGUUGUGUCGAUGCCGUGCCAGGAGCUCUUCGACGCGCAACCGGAUGCGUACCGCAAGUCUGUGCUCACCGAAGGUGUGCCGGUGGUGUCGGUGGAGGCGUACGUCAGCUUCGGCUGGGAGAAAUACUCCCAUGCGCAUGUGGGGAUGUCUGGCUUCGGUGCCUCGGCCCCGGCGGGUGUGCUAUACAAGAAGUUCGGCAUUACCGUCGAGGAAGUGGUGGAGACGGCCCGCAGGCUGACCGCGCGCUUCCCCAAUCGCACGGCGCCGCUCAAGAACUCCUCAUUCAGCAAGAUGUGAGACGGCGCUCCGAAGCGUGACGGAUGACCCCGGAGGAGGCGGGCAGGGAGAAUGGAGAUGGAGGAUUGUUGCUGGCGAUGGCGGCGCCGCUUUCCCCUGACCUCUCUUCCCCCCUUAUCGUAACUCUCUACCGUGAGCGAUAUGGUCGAUUACGCUCACACAUCAACGCGUACAUGUUAUGCACGAUGAUGCAAUGUAGUAUGUCGGCGUCUGUUCGCAUACACGUGUGCAUGUGCUGGUCUAUCUUCGUCCCCACCCACCCCUACCCCCUUCCUCUGCCACUCGCCGGUCAUGGCUUUUUGGUGUGUCUCCUUGCCUAUUCCCCUUUCUUGGGGCUGGUGCUUGAUUGAUGUUUCCUCUUCUGUUAUUAUCUUGCCUUGACCUGUGCGUGUCGCUCUCUAGCUCUCUACCCACCCACCCACUCAUCCCCUUCUUGCCGCCUCUUCUCUUUGUCUGGUGUGCUUCUUCCGGGGCGCGCUGGGGUGGCGUGCAUGCCUUCCUCACACUCCUCUCUUCCCCGUGGUGGGGCUCUAUGUGUGUGGGGGGAUGUAUGAGUGGAGUGGACACCUCAUUUUAUGCUUCGUCUUUCUUUUCAUCAGUGCGGGAGUCGAGCUGCAUGGCGCAUGCUUGCGUCGUGCGCCGGUAUCGGGAGGGCAAGGAAGUCCUAUCGUGCCCGUGACAGCGCCAUGAGCGCACGUCGGUUUGUGCGUGAGCACGCGUGAGUGUGUGCCUCGGUAGACCUUGACCCACCGGCUUACGCACCCCAGCGACGAAACAACGGGUGCUGGCGCGAUAGAGCGGGUGAAGGUGUUUCCUCGCCUUCAGCAGAGAGGCCCUGCUCUCUGCCCCCCCCCAUCACCACCACCACCUUCCUGCCUCCCUCCCGCAGCGCUCUUCUCUCGCUCCCUUUUCCUUUUUAUCUGACUUUCCUAUCUCAUGUGCUCAUGGGCGCGACCCGCUGCGCAG